rnacentral:rRNA from 1 species
AGAGUUUGAUCCUGGCUCAGAUUGAACGCUGGCGGCAUGCUUUACACAUGCAAGUCGAACGGCAGCACGGGUGCUUGCACCUGGUGGCGAGUGGCGAACGGGUGAGUAAUGCACCGGAACGUACCCAGUAAUGGGGGAUAACACAUCGAAAGAUGUGCUAAUACCGCAUACGCCCUGAGGGGGAAAGCGGGGGAUCGUAAGACCUCGCGUUAUUGGAGCGGCCGAUGCCGGAUUAGCUAGUUGGUGAGGUAAGAGCUCACCAAGGCGACGAUCCGUAGCUGGUCUGAGAGGACGACCAGCCACACUGGGACUGAGACACGGCCCAGACUCCUACGAGAGGCAGCAGUGGGGAAUUUUGGACAAUGGGCGCAAGCCUGAUCCAGCCAUGCCGCGUGAGUGAAGAAGGCCUUCGGGUUGUAAAGCUCUUUCGCAAGGAAAGAAAACUUAUCU